rnacentral:rRNA from 1 species
UACGUAGGGGGCAAGCGUUGUCCGGAUUUAUUGGGCGUAAAGAGCGUGUAGGCGGUUUGGUAGGUCUGCUGUGAAAACUCGAGGCUCAACCUCGAGACGCCGGUGGAAACCAUCAGACUAGAGUCCGGAAGAGGAGAGCGGAAUUCCUGGUGUAGCGGUGAAAUGCGCAGAUAUCAGGAAGAACACCCGUGGCUAAGGCGGCUCUCUAGUACGGUACUGACGCUGAGACGCGAAAGCGUGGGGAGCGAACAGG